GACGGGGGCCCGCACAAGCGGUGGAGCAUGUGGUUUAAUUCGAUGAUACGCGAGGAACCUUACCUGGGCUCAAAUGUAUGUUGACGUAUUCUGAAAGGGAUACUUCUUCGGACAAUAUACAAGGUGCUGCAUGGUUGUCGUCAGCUCGUGCCGUGAGGUGUCGGGUUAAGUCCCCAUAACGAGCGCAACCCCUAUCAUUAGUUGCCAUCAGGUCAAGCUGGGGACUCUAAUGAAACUGCCUACGCAAGUAGUGAGGAAGGCGGGGAUGACGUCAAAUCAGCACGGCCCUUACGUCCAGGGCUACACACGUGCUACAAUGGCCGAUACAGAGGGCAGCUACCUGGUGACAGGAUGCAAAUCUCCAAAGUCGGUCUCAGUUCGGAUCGGAGUCUGCAACCCGACUCCGUGAAGUUGGAUUCGCUAGUAAUCGCGCAUCAGCCAUGGCGCGGUGAAUACGUUCCCGGGCCUU
rnacentral:rRNA from 1 species